rnacentral:rRNA from 1 species
AGGGCAAUUCGUGGAUGCCUUGGCGCAUACAGGCGAUGAAGGACGUGGCACGCUGCGAUAAGCUGCGGUGAGGUGUGAGCAACCUUUGACCCGCAGAUUUCCGAAUGGGGAAACCCACCUAUCCCGUUUAACUUGUUCGUUCCUGGUAACAGGGGCGGCCAAGCUAAAUGGGGCUAGGUAUCACUUAAGUGAAUACAUAGCUUUCGUGAAGCGAACCCGGCGAACUGAAACAUCUCAGUAGCUGGAGGAAAAGACAUCAACCGAGAUUCCGUUAGUAGUGGCGAGCGAACGCGGACCAGGCCAGUGCCGACAAGUGAAUUAGCAGAACGAUUUGGAAAGAUCGGCCAUAGCGGGUGACAGCCCCGUAUGCGAAAGUGAAAUUGUCGGACUUGAGUAGGGCGGGACACGUGUAAUCCUGUCUGAACAUAGGGGGACCACCCUCUAAGCCUAAAUACUCGUAUGCGACCGAUAGUGAACUAGUACCGUGAGGGAAAGGUGAAAAGCACCCCGAUGAGGGGAGUGAAACAGUACCUGAAACGGAUUGCCUACAAGCAGUUGGAGGGUCCUUGAGGCCUGACAGCGUACCUCUUGCAUAAUGGGUCUGUGACUUAAUGUAUCAAGCAAGCUUAAGCCGUUAGGUGUAGGCGCAGCGAAAGCGAGUCUGAAUAGGGCGCCAGAGUUUGAUGUAUUAGACCCGAAACCCGGCGAUCUAGGCAUGACCAGGAUGAAGGUGCGGUAACACGCACUGGAGGUCCGAACCGAUUAACGUUGAAAAGUUACCGGAUGAGUUGUGUUUAGGGGUGAAAGGCCAAUCAAGCCGGGAAAUAGCUGGUUCUCCGCGAAAACUAUUGAGGUAGUGCCUCGAGCGAAUACCGUAGGGGGUAGAGCACUGGAUGGAUGCGGGGGUCGCGAGACCUACCAACUCUAACCAAACUCCGAAUACCUACGAGUACUACUCGGGAGACAGACGGCGGGUGCUAAGGUCCGUCGUCAAAAGGGAAACAGCCCUGACCUACAGCUAAGGUCCCCAAGUCAUCACUAAGUGGGAAAGCAUGUGGAACUUCCAAAACAACCAGGAGGUUGGCUUAGAAGCAGCCAUCCUUUAAAGAAAGCGUAACAGCUCACUGGUCUAAAUAAGAGGUUCUGCGGCGAAGAUGUAACGGGGCUAAAGUGAUGCACCGAAGCUUAGGGUGUGGCGUGAGCGACACGGUAGCGGAGCGUUCCGUAAGCCUGUGAAGCGAUCUGGUAAUGGGUCGUGGAGGUAUCGGAAGUGCGAAUGCAGACAUGAGUAGCGAUAAAAAGGGUGAGAUGCCCUUUCGCCGAAAGACCAAGGGUUCCUGCGCAAGGCUAAUCCGCGCAGGGUGAGCCGGCCCCUAAGACGAGCCCGAAGGGGGUAGUCGAUGGGAACCACGUUAAUAUUCGUGGGCCUGGUGGUGUGUGACGGAUCUCGUGUGUUGUUCUCCCUUAUUGGAUUGGGAGGGCUUCGAAGAGGUUCCAGGAAAUAGCCCCACCGUAUAGACCGUACCCGAAACCGACACAGGUGGUCAGGUAGAGAAUACCAAGGCGCUUGAGAGAAGUGUCCUGAAGGAACUCGGCAAAUUGCCUCCGUACCUUCGGAAGAAGGAGGCCCUCAUUGUGCGCAAGCAUUUUGAGGGGGCACAGGCCAGGGGGUAGCGACUGUUUAGCAAAAACACAGGGCUCUGCUAAGUCGGCUUCAAGACGACGUAUAGGGCCUGACGCCUGCCCGGUGCCUGAAGGUUAAGUGGAGGGGUGCAAGCUCUGAAAUGAAGCCCAGGUAAACGGCGGCCGUAACUAUAACGGUCCUAAGGUAGCGAAAUUCCUUGUCGGGUAAGUUCCGACCUGCACGAAUGGCGUAACGACUUCCCCACUGUCUCCAGGACAUGCUCAGCGAAAUUGAAUUCCCCGUGAAGAUGCGGGGUUCCCGCGGUUAGACGGAAAGACCCCGUGCACCUUUACUGCAGCUUCAGAGUGGCAUUAGGAAAGAACUGUGUAGCAUAGGUGGGAGGCUUUGAAGCGU